GACGAACGCUGGCGGCGUGCUUAACACAUGCAAGUCGAACGGAAAGGCCCUGCUUUUGUGGGGUGCUCGAGUGGCGAACGGGUGAGUAACACGCGAGUAACCUGCCCUUGACUUUGGGAUAACUUCAGGAAACUGGGGCUAAUACCGGAUAGGAGCUCCUGCUGCAUGGUGGGGGUUGGAAAGUUUCGGCGGUUGGGGCUGGACUCGCGGCUUAUCAGCUUGUUGGUGGGGUAGUGACUUACCAAGGCUUUGACGGGUAGCCGGCCUGAGAGGGUGACCGGCCACAUGGGGACUAAGAGACGGAGCAGAAUCCUACGGGAGGCAGCAGUCGGGAAUAUUGCACAAUGGGGGGAAGCCUGAUGCAGCAACGCCGCGUGCGGGAUGACGGCCUACGGGUGGUAAACCGCUUUCGCCUGUGACGAAGCGUGAGUGACGGUAAUGGGUAAGGAAGCACCGGCUAACUACGUG
rnacentral:rRNA from 1 species